CCUACGGGAGGCAGCAGUGAGGAAUAUUGGUCAAUGGCCGGAAGGCUGAACCAGCCAUGCCGCGUGAAGGUCAGUGCCCUAUGGGCGUUAAACUUCUUUUGUGCGGGAGCAAUAAUGGUCACGUGUGGCCAGACGAGAGUACCGUACGAAUAAGCAUCGGCUAACUCCGUGCCAGCAGCCGCCGUAAUACGGGGGAUGCAAGCGUUAUCCGGUUUUAUUGGGUGUAAAGGGUGCGUAGGCUGUGAGGUAAGUCAGCGGUGAAAUGCCCGCGCAACGGGGUGAAGUGCCAUUGAUACUGCAUUGCUGGAAUGCGGAUGCCGUGGGAGGAAUGUGUGGUGUAGCGGUGAAAUGCAUAGAUAUCACACAGAACACCGAUUGCGAAGGCA
rnacentral:rRNA from 1 species